rnacentral:lncRNA from 1 species
UCAGUUCCAAAUUCUGUGAUAAUGAGUGAGAUGUCUUGGUAUAUCACUAUGCAAAGAAACUUGCCAUAAACUAGAUCACCCUAAACCUAGGUAUGGUCUAGAGAAGUAGGCCUGGUCUAUGAUAUGCAGUCUAUAAGAACACAGCUGUUUUUGUUGUAGGUCUCCAUUCUUUUAUUUCAACUAGGGUGUUUUCACUUGCGUGGAGUAGAAUCAUACCAAGGUCUCAUACUUGACCAGAUGCACCUAUGUUGGAGUAAAUCUUACCAUGUAUCACAUAUAAAUUGAGAACACACACUAAACACACCUAAGUACAAAAGGUGUUAUUGCAUCUAAAAAAAUACAAAAGGUGUUGGUUAUACAAACGGUUACACAUGAGGCAGGAGUAGUUGGUGCCAGUAAGCAUUUUUUUUCCUUCCAAGCCAUGUAACCAGCAGAUGGUAAAACCAUAUUAUGAUGCACUCUAAUAUAAUGAGGAUGGCUUGGAGGAGAGAGCAUCCUGACAUGAGGCACA